UUGGGUGGGUUACGCACUUUGAAGGAGUGCACCUACAACAGAGACAACCCAGGACCUCAAGGGGUUUGUUACAUGAAGCAGUGUUAGCCAGUCUUGGUAGGAGGUCUCUGUAGGCCAGCACUCUCAGGCUGUAAACAUUCAGGGAGGGAAGAGGUAGUUGCUAGUUUUUGCACAUAUUUAAGCUCAGACCAGAGAAAGGCUUUGCAUCCAUCAAGUCUGACUCCAAAGGGGAGGGUUUUGACAUCCCCACAAGUGUGAGACAUUGAAUCCUUGACAUGGCUGUGUCUGUGUCAACAACACACAAUAACUCAGGACUUUAUUCACACCUUACACACUCGUGUACUCAGGGAUUCCUCGGCUCCUCUAUGCCUGCAUUUGGGUCAGGAGUAGCUUUCACAAACCUGUGCUUAUGAGGGAUGAGGGAGUUGUGCACAGUCUUAUUAUAUUUUGUUAAGAGUGUAGCUUGAUACCCUCUUUGAAGGACCAGGCCGGCCUUGAACCCACAGAAAUCUGUUUGCAUCUGCUCCUGAGUGGCGAGAUUCAAGGCAUACACCAUCCCCCCUGGAGGACGAUUUCGUUUACUUUCAAAAGAAACAAUAAAGACUGAUUGUGAAUUGCUUUGUAAAAUUCUUUACUACAUUUUAAUUUGUGCAUUCAUCGAUGUUGGUUCAUACCUCAGCACGUGUGUGGAGGUCAGAGAUCAUCAGCCUGUAGGAUUCGGCCUUUCCUUCUAUCACGUGGGCCUGGGGAUGUUGUCAGGCUUGGUGGCAUCUUUACCUGCUGAGCCAUCUCACUGGAUCUCUCUCUCUCUCUCUCUCUCUCUCUCUCUCUCUCUCUCUCUCACACACACACACACACACACACACACACAGACACACAUAAAGAAACAAAGCAGAAUGACAGAAUGACUAAGGAGCAGGCAGGUGAUAAAUGAUAAAUGUUGUUCUUAGUUCUGUCUGCUUAGGCCUGCCAUGCUUCAGACACUAGGUGUUGGCAGAACACCUUGUCUUUCUCUGAUCUCUGCUGCCAAUCAGGACAGUAUUUCUUUUUCUUUUAAUUAAAUGUAUUUCUGUUUGUUUGUUGAGAAUUUCAUAUGAGGACAUUCAUAUUUACAACAUUUCACCUCCAUCUUCUUCUGCCUCCUCAUAUCUCAUAUUCCCUCUUAAAUUUAUGACCUCUUUAAUUAUUAUUGUCACACAUAUACACAUAUGUGCAUACACACACACACGUGUACUCACACAUUCAUUUACUGUGGCUUACACGUACAGGUAGGACCAAUCUAGAUUGGAUAGCCUAUCAGAGUUAUCCCUGGAGAAAACUGAUUUCCCUUCUCUCUUAGAACUCUCUCAGUCCCUGAGACCCUGUACUCUGUAGUACAGGCUGGUUUUGAACACAUGAGUCUUCUGCUUUCCAGCAUCCCAAAGUGCUGAAAUCACAGGCUGCACUACCUGAAAGGGGGUUGAUGCUUUCUGUUUUUUUUUUUUUUUUUUUUUUUUAAGAUUUAUUCAUUUUAUUAUAUAUAUAAGUACACUGUAGCUGUCUUCAGAUACACCAGAAGAGGGCAUUGGAUCUCUUUAUAGAUGGUUGUGAGCCACCAUGUGGUUGCUGGGAAUUGAACUCAGGACCUCUGGAAGAGCAGUCAGAUGCUCUUAACCGCUGAGCCAUCUCUCCAGCUCCCGAUGCUUUCUGUUUUUAAGCAUAAGAACUUUUUCUUUCCCUUUAAAAACUCUUUUAGGACUUUAUACAUAUUCAGCUCAUGAUAUUGACAUCUGCUGAAAGUGAAAGGGAAGUUAUUGGCUCAGGACCACAAGUUCUUAGCACAAAGGAGAUUUAUUUAUCCCAGAGAGGGACAGAGGGCAGGGAAUAAGAGACAAAGACAGGAGAUAGGGGAUGGGGGAGAAGAGGGGAGAGAGGAGUAAGGGAGAGGGGGCAGCUAUAUUUGUCCCAGGGUGACAAAGGACUGAUUCUGGAUAACGAAAAGACAGGCAUGGCCCAUUGGCAAAUGGUGGUUUAUAAAGGUAAAGGGGGGAAACCCCAUGUUAGGAUGAGGUGUUUAAUUUUAAUUGGACAUGUUAAUUAGGUGAGAGCCAAAGGUGGUUUUUGAUUCUUGACUUUAAUACUUUGAUUGCUGAACAUAGUCAGCCUCAGAAGGAGGAAAUGGCCAAGUAAGGGAACAGACCUUGGUGGCUAGCUUUAGGAAUGGAAUUUAACUUUUUUUUUUUUUUUUUUAAGCAAGGAGGAGGGGGUCGGGGAGAAGGGCAAGGGCUGCCAGAGCCACAUGCUCCAGUGGGCUAGUUGUCCCUUCAGAAAGAGGAAACUCUUCGGCAAAGAUCAGGAACUCACAAUAUCGGGUGAGACAAACUCUUCAAAGAGAAUAGUCUUGUCUAAUCCCAGCACUUGGGAGUCAAAGGCAGAUGGGUAUCUGUGAGUUUGAGGCCAGCCUAGUCUACAGAGUGAGUUCCAGGCUAGCUAGAAUUUUAUUGUGUGGCCCCUGUCUCAAAAAACAAACAAACCAGUGUACUAGUUUUGGAUGUCAAUGCUACAAUCUCCUUAAUUCAGAAAAAUAAUUAGCCUAUGAAAGCUAUAGUCAGCAUACAAUCAAGGGUAAUCUCGAAUUCCUGGGCUCUGUCCCCACAGUCCCUGUAGCCCAAACUUGGGUUUUCCUUUUUCCUGAUUUAAAACUAGGAGUAGUGUGCCACAGGUAUGGUAAAACAUUUACUUAUUUCAAGCCCAAGAGAAGAGGCCCCACUGCCAUUCCACAGGGCCUGGCUUCAUGCUCUAUUUAUAGCUUUCAUUUCUCUUGCGUUGGAAAAAGCCUCACAUGGUAGCUCAUUCUGGCCUUGAACCAGAGGCAAUCCUCCUGCCUCAGUCUCCCUAGCAUUGGGAUUGUAGGAGCGAGCCACCACCCCUGGGACACAUUUCAACAAAAGCACACAAAGGUGGUAACUUCUCUGUGUCCUUGUCUUCCCAACCUUUGUGUAGGCUCCUUUCCCCUCCUCUUCUGCCUUGAUGUCUCCCCAGUUUUGCUAUGUCAGCACUUAACCUUGUCCAAACUGGCUUCAUACUUGAGAUUCUCUUUGCCUUGGCCUGCUGGGUACUAGAGUUAUAGUCAGAACAACCGUACCAGGUUUUUCCAUCUACAUUCCUGAUAGCAGUCAUCCUAAAGAGUGUGAGAUAGCUCACUGUGGUUUGAUUUCAUUUUUCCUAAUUAGUAGGGAUGCUGGUCAUCAUUUCUUUUUUUAAAUUCUUUUUUAAAAAGAUUUAUUUAUUAUAUGUAAGUACACUGUAGCUGUCUUCAGACACACCAGGAGAGGGUAUCAGAUCUCAUUAUAGAUGGUUGUGAGCCACCAUGUGGUUGCUGGGAUUUGAACUCAGGACCUCUGGAAGGACAGUCAGUGCUCUUAACCCCUGAGCCAUCUCUCCAGCCUGCUGGUCAUCAUUUCAUAUACUUGCUGGACAUUUCUAUUUUGAGGCAAGGUCUCCUAUGCAGGGUGCACUGAACUUGUAGAUGAGGAUGACCUUGUCAAGUAUUGGGAUGGCAUAUGGGAUUUCGCUCAACCAGUGUAUGUGGUACCGGCAGUCGAAACAAAGGCUUUGCUCACUCUAGGCGAGCACCUCACCAAAGAAACCUCGUUCGCAGUGCUAGUAAGCUUUUUCAAAAAGGUACUUGGAUUCAUGAUGCCCAGUGGAGACGAUAGGCACAAGUGAUUCUCCAUGAGAUGGUUUGUAUAAGCUUGGCCCAGAAAGUGGCACUAUUAGGAGGUGUGGCCUUAUUGGAGUAGGUAUGUCACUAUGGGCGUGGGCUUUAAUACCCUUUCCCUACCUGCCCGGAAGUCAGCAUUCUGCUAGCAGCCUUCAGAUGAAGAUGUAGAACUCUCAGCUCCUCCUGCACCAUACCUCCCUGGAUGCUGCUAUGAUCCUGCCUUUAUAAUGGACGGAACCUCUGAACCCAUAAGCCAGUCCCAAUUAAAUGCUGUCCUUGUAAGAGUUACUUUGGCCAUGGUGUCUGUUCACAGCAGUAAAACUCUAAGACAUUUCACGACUCAGCUCUGUGCUUGUAUCCAACACUGGCUUGUAUCAGUUACACGGAGGCAUACCUGCAUCAAGUGGCCGACUGCCUGCCAGCCAUUGGGGACUCCUGCCGGCUUCUAUCUUCCACCAGCUCCGCCUCUGGGCGCGUGAACACACCCUUUACUUACGUAGCCCUGCCCCUCUCAGCUCCACGCACCAGCGUUUCUAGUCACGUGGCACUAUGGCCGGAUUUAAAGUUAGUUCAAGAUGGAGUGACUGCUGAAGGCAGCGGAAAGGUGCUGCCUAGAGGGCAUGCAGAUUCCUGACUGAGCUCAGCACCGGUCUUUCCGGUCACGUGCUUUAUGGAGCAGCUGCUAGACGCGUUAUUGCUAGGCAACGCUUGCAGGCUCCUUGCUAGGUUAGAUCCCCGCAGUGUGGGAUCUGGGCGCCGCGGGCCGACAUGGAUCAGUAUUGCAUCCUCGGUCGCAUCGGGGAGGGCGCCCACGGCAUCGUCUUUAAAGCCAAGCACGUAGAGACUGGCGAGAUCGUUGCCCUCAAGAAGGUGGCCCUGCGGCGGCUGGAGGAUGGUAUUCCUAACCAGGCCCUCAGGGAAAUCAAGGCUCUGCAGGAGAUCGAGGACAGUCAAUAUGUGGUACAGCUGAAGGCUGUGUUCCCACAUGGUGCAGGCUUUGUGCUGGCUUUCGAGUUUAUGCUGUCGGACCUGGCGGAGGUGGUGCGCCAUGCCCAGAGGCCACUAGCCCCAGCACAGGUUAAGAGCUACCUGCAGAUGCUGCUCAAAGGUGUUGCAUUUUGCCAUGCCAACAACAUCGUGCAUCGGGACCUGAAGCCUGCCAACCUGCUCAUCAGUGCCUCAGGCCAGCUCAAGAUAGCUGACUUUGGACUGGCCCGGGUCUUCUCUCCAGAUGGUGGUCGCCUCUACACACAUCAGGUGGCCACCAGGUGGUACCGAGCUCCUGAGCUCCUGUACGGUGCUCGGCAGUAUGACCAGGGUGUUGACCUAUGAUCUGUAUCCACAGGGCUGUAGGCUGUAUUAUGGGAGAGCUGUUGAAUGGAUCCCCCCUAUUCCCGGGAGAAAACGACAUUGAACAACUGUGCUGUGUGCUUCGAAUCCUGGGUACCCCGAGUCCUCGAGUCUGGCCGGAGAUCACAGAGCUGCCUGACUACAAC